rnacentral:lncRNA from 1 species
AUGUUGACUCAGCUGUGGCACACCAUUCACCUGAGCUCAGGCACCGUGACAGCUUCCUCCUCAGCUCACGUCUUUCCUUUUCGCUUCAGCAUCUUCUCCAGCUCGGAGGAGCUGGUUGGUCUCGCACUAGAGCAGACUGGAAGCCAGAGGGAUUCGCUUCCUAGGACAGCCUCCACCAGCACUGUCACCUGGCUUUAUGGUCCCACAAAUCUUGCUGCAGUAGCAGCAGAUUCAGAUGACAUGGGCUCUGAUGGUUUUGUACCAGGAAAAUCUGAUAGACAUCGUCCUCGCUUCUUCAACGGUGAGUUAGCCACUUUGAAGGGCGGGGAAAUCGUGGUAUUUCCCUAUUUUCCAAGGUCCCAUCAGUCUCUGUAUCCAAACUCACUGGCUCCUGGAUCCACAUUCUCCCACAGAAACUUGAUGCCCUCCGAAGUGAGCCCCAGGCAUUUCUGGACUGCUAGACAUGUGCCCAUCAGCAGUUCUGGCCAGCUGUCUGCUCAGCUGCUCCGUGGCAUCUGUUAUUUCUUUGCUCUUUUUGGCUGGCUCUCUCUUUCAUUUGGCACCACCCUGCCUGCCAGCGUAUCUGCCUCACUCUGGGAGUCCAUCCACGGAGAGACCCAUGGCCCAGCGGGCACCUGCGUGUCCUGGGGUGGCUGCGUCUCUCCAGCCAUCAGGAGACCCAGGAUGCCCGAGAGUCCCUGA